rnacentral:tRNA from 1 species
CGGGCUGUAGCGCAGCUUGGCAGCGCGCCUGCUUUGGGAGCAGGAGGCCGCGGGUUCAAAUCCCGCCAGCCCGA